AACACCAAUUGCGAAGGCAGCUCACUAAACUAUUACUGACGCUCAUGAACGAAAGCGUGGGGAGCAAACAGGAUUAGAUACCCUGGUAGUCCACGCCGUAAACUAUGAUCACUAGAUGUUGGCGAUAUAUUGUCAGUGUUUUAGAGAAAUCGUUAAGUGAUCCACCUGGGGAGUACGUUCGCAAGAAUGAAACUCAAAGGAAUUGACGGGGGCCCGCACAAGCGGAGGAGCAUGUGGUUUAAUUCGAUGAUACGCGAGGAACCUUACCAAGACUUAAAUGUAUUUUGACAGGUUGAGAAAUCAACUUUUCUUCGGACAAUUUACAAGGUGCUGCAUGGUUGUCGUCAGCUCGUGCCGUGAGGUGCCGGGUUAAGUCCCAUAACGAGCGCAACCCCUAUUUUUAGUUACCAGCGAGUCAUGUCGGGAACUCUAGAAAGACUGCCUGUGUAAACAGUGAGGAAGGUGGGGAUGACGUCAAAUCAUCACGGCCCUUAUGUCUUGGGCUACACACGUGCUACAAUGGUCACUACAGUGGGCUGCCAUCUGGCAACAGAGAGCAAAUCCAUAAAGGUGAUCCCAGUUCGGAUCGGAGUCUGCAACUCGACUCUGUGAAGUUGGAUUCGCUAGUAAUCGUAUAUCAGCAAUGAUACGGUGAAUACGUUCCCGGGCCUUGUACACACCGCCCGUCAAGCCAUGGAAGUUUGUGGUGCCUGAAGUCAGUAACCGUAAGGAUCUGCCUAGGGUAAAACAGAUAACUAGGGCUAAGUCGUAACAAGGUAGCCGUA
rnacentral:rRNA from 1 species